rnacentral:tRNA from 1 species
CGGUAGCUCAGUUGGUAGAGCGGUCGGCUGUUAACCGAUUAGUCGUAGGUUCGAGUCCUACCC